rnacentral:tRNA from 1 species
AGGCUAUUAGCUCAAACGGCAGAGCAAUGUGCAUUAUGUACAUGAUGUGGGUUCAAAUCCCGCAUUGCCUA